GCCGGGUGCGGUGGCGCGUGCCUGUAGUCCCAGCUACUCGGGAGGCUGAGGUGGGAGGAUCACUUGAGCCCAGGAGUUCUGGGCUGUAGUGCGCUAUGCCGAUCGGGUGUCCGCACUAAGUUCAGCGUCAAUAUGGUGACCUCCCAGGGGCGAGGGACCGCCAGGUUGCCUAAGGAGGGGUGAACUGGCACAGGCUGGAAACGGAGCAGGUCAAAACUCCUGUGCUGAUCAGUAGUGGGACUGUGCCUGUGACUAGCCACUGCAUUCCAGCCUGGGCAACACAGCGAGACCCAUCUCA
rnacentral:SRP_RNA from 1 species